rnacentral:rRNA from 1 species
UUCUUUUAGUUUGUAUUAAAAGUAAUUUCUGCUCAAUGAUAUUUUAAAUAGCUGCAUUUUGUACUAAGGUAGCAUAAUAAAUUGUCUAUUAAUUGUAGACUAGAAUGAAGGAAAAGAUAUGUUUAAUACUGUCUUUUAUGAAUAAUUUGAAAUUAAAAUUUUUGUUAAAAUGCAAAAGUGAAUUUUAGGGACAAGAAGACCCUUAAAGCUUUAUUAUUUUUUCUGUAAAUAUUUAUAGAAUAAAAAAUUUUAUUGGGGCAAUAUUAUAUAAAAAGAAAUUAUAUAAAAAAAUUAGUAAAUAUAAAAUUUAUUAUAUGAUCCAUUAUUAAUGAUAAUUUGAAUAAGUUACUUUAGGGAUAACAGGAUAAUUUUUAUUUUAGAGAUCUUAUUGCUAAUAAAGAUUGUUACCUCGAUGUUGAAUUAAUUUUAUAAAUUGGUGAAGGAGCUAAUUUUAUAUGACUGUUCGUCAUUUGAAAAAUUACA